AAAAUAGGGAAAGAAAGGGCUUGUGGAGUACGGAAGGAGAAACAAGUUUGCGGAGAGAGGGCUGGGCUGUUGGACUUGCUGGCUGGGAGCUACAGAUAUUUAGGAGCCUCUGGAACCUGGAAGGAACCUUACUGUAAAUAAGGUGCCCAACCUUAUUGUAAAUGCACAGCUUUUCUGUGUUUCUCCCCUUCGUCUGCCUGAGAGCACCUGCUCAGCCUUGAGAAGUCAACUU
rnacentral:lncRNA from 1 species